rnacentral:rRNA from 1 species
GAUGAACGCUCGCUGUGUGCCUAAUACAUGCAUGUUGAACGGGAUGUAGCAAUACAUUCAGUAGCGAAUGGGUGAGUAACACGUACCUAACCUACCUUUAAGACUGGGAUAACUAUUGGAAACAAUAGCUAAUACCGGAUAUAGUUAUUUAUCGCAUGAUGAGUAAUAGAAAGGAGCUUCACAGCUUCACUUAAAAAUGGGGGUGCGGAACAUUAGUUAGUUGGUAGGGUAAUGGCCUACCAAGACGAUGAUGUUUAGCCGGGCCGAGAGGCUGUACGGCCACACUGGGACUGAGAUACGGCCCAGACUCCUACGGGAGGCAGCAGUAAGGAAUUUUCCACAAUGAGCGAAAGCUUGAUGGAGCGACACAGCGUGCAGGAUGAAGUUCUUCGGAAUGUAAACUGCUGUUAUAAGGGAAGAAAAAAUAGAAUAGGAAAUGAUUUUAUCUUGACGGUACCUUAUUAGAAAGCGACGGCAAACUAUGUGCCAGCAGCUGCGGUAAUACAUAGGUCGCAAGCGUUAUCCGGAAUUAUUGGGCGUAAAGCGUCCGUAGGUUUUUUGCUAAGUCUGGAGUUAAAUGCUGAAGCUCAACUUCAGUCCGCUUUGGAUACUGGCAAAAUAGAAUUAUAAAGAGGUUAGCGGAAUUCCUAGUGAAGCGGUGGAAUGCGUAGAUAUUAGGAAGAACACCAACAGGCGAAGGCAGCUAACUGGUUAUAUAUUGACACUAAGGGACGAAAGCGUGGGGAGCAAACAGG